rnacentral:rRNA from 1 species
ACCUAUCACAGUAGCACAUUUAAAAUGUCAUGCUAUUGAUCUUGUCUGAUCUCGGAAGCUAAGCAGGGUCGGGCCUGGUUAGUACUUAGAUGGGAGACCACCUAGGAAUACCAAGUGUUCUCAGCC